rnacentral:rRNA from 1 species
AACGAACGCUGGCGGCAUGCCUAACACAUGCAAGUCGAACGAGACCUUCGGGUCUAGUGGCGCACGGGUGCGUAACGCGUGGGAACCUGCCCUUAGGUUCGGAAUAACUCCCCGAAAGGGGUGCUAAAACCGGAUAAUGUCUUGGGACCAAAGAUUUAUCGCCUUUGGAUGGGCCAGCGUUGGAUUAGCUAGUUGGUAGGGUAAAAGCCUACCAAGGCGACGAUCCAUAGCUGGUCUGAGAGGAUGAUCAGCCACACUGGGACUGAGACACGGCCCAGACUCCUACGGGAGGCAGCAGUGGGGAAUAUUGGACAAUGGGCGAAAGCCUGAUCCAGCAAUGCCGCGUGAGUGAUGAAGGCCUUAGGGUUGUAAAUCUCUUUUAACCGGGAUGAUAAUGACAUUACCGGGAGAAUAAGCUCCGGCUAACUCCGUG